UAAAGACUCUGGUUCUCUCCAAUUCACCACAGCAUGCAAAUUGCUUAACAUCUAAGCUAUAUCCCCAGCAAGAACCUGAAGACAUCACUCAGUGAGAUAACCCCUUCUACACGCUCGCUGCCAGCUUCCACAAUCAAAAGCCUCCUAACCCCUGAAAAGACCACGCAACAAAGCAAUUAGAAAACGUGUUACUAGUCCAGACCCCGAGGUCAGAACUACUUAUGGUGAAAAGUUGAUGUAGAAAAAAAAAUCAUAUUGCUGUAAGAGUACUGGGAUUUGCCAAACGCUACAUCACUUUGUGUAGAGAAUCAGUCCGCAAGCACAUCUGACAUAUCUGUCCAUUGUAGAAUGCAUUUGAAGAAUUUGCAUUCUGACCCAAUUGCAGAGCCUAAAAGGGUAUGAAAGAGCAGAUCAAUACAGAAGGUAUUAUAGCACAAGGUUAGGAGAGGUUAGAGAAGAUCAAUCAACAAUAUGCACACUCAGAAACAGAUAGAAGAGGACAGUUGUAGCUUGUGGUAAUCUUUUGACGUGUGAAUUACCUUGAGCCAACAAAGACAGAGCAGCACCGAGAGAAGCAUUUGGUCUCAACAUUGCAAAUGGCCGUCUGUUUGGUUCGCCAGUUUUUGGAACCCAUGUACCCAAAGGAAUCGAACAAAUUGGCUGUUGAAGAAUGGGUAAGGAGCCAGCAGAAUGUCUGAAAUACCUGCAUAUACCUGACAAUUAGGUCCAGGUGUUAGCAACAAGUUAUAUAUCAUGAAGCAUCAAACCAAGAAGGUUUACAUUUUAGUAUUCCAGACAGGGAAGCAAGAUAUAGUAGCUGCGGAAAUGAGCCCUGCCAGCAUAUUAAAUGAGUGGUGGAUAACUACUGCUUUAGGUUCGCUCGUUGUUUGGUGGAAUGAAAACACCAACAGUCCUGCCAUUGUUGGACUGUUGGACCUGAGUGAUCUUCACGUCAGAGUAGAGUUGUGAGGGCGAGAAACACUGAACCAACUUGUGAGAUCUGUGGUAGACAAUCUGGUAUAAGAUUUGGCUUGGAUUUGGUGAGACGAUUGGGUCUAACAGGGGCCAUUUGGAUGGCUUCUUCGAACGAUUUCCCCUGUUCUAGAGGAAGAAGAGAAUGAACAGUCUUUGGACCGACGCCGUUUUUGGCUGAAAAGGGUCAAUCUUCAAUUGCCCCCCUGAAGUUUUGAAGUCUUACAUUCAAGCCCUUGUCUUUUAAAAUUCAAUUUUUUUUUUAAUUUCGCCCCUUGAUCUAUGCAAAUUGCACCCUUGGAUUUC